rnacentral:rRNA from 1 species
UACAGAGGGGGCAAACGUUGCUCGGAAUCACUGGGCGUAAAGGGCGUGUAGGCGGAGAGAUAAGUCGGAUGUGAAAUCCCCAGGCUCAACCUGGGAACUGCAUCCGAUACUGGAUGGCUUGAAUCCGGGAGAGGGAUGCAGAAUUCCAGGUGUAGCGGUGAAAUGCGUAGAUAUCUGGAGGAAUACCGGUGGCGAAGGCGGCAUCCUGGACCGGCAUUGACGCUGAGGAGCGAAAGCUAGGGGAGCAAACGGG